AGAUUACCAUCUAUGACUCAGUGGUGGAGCACUUUAUUUGCAUGCGGAGGUUCAUGGGUUCACUGAUGCGGAGAGCUGAGCUUAAGACUGGAAGAAUAAGAAAUUAAGAGAAACUGUAAAUGACAGAUUUACUCAUCCAUAUGAACUGGGUAGGAUUUUGUGACUGAUGCUGUUUCUGUAAGAACUGACAACUGGUGAAUUGGAAAGGACUCUGUGAUGUUCCUGCUUAUAGUGUAAAUAUGCACUUUGGUAUCCAAAGACAGCUGCGGAGUGUGCCCUUAAACAUGGCAAGUGCGUGUUUCCCAGGUGUCCACGAUAUGGAAGAAUCUUGGGAAAGUGUGAUAGAAACGAUGUGGCUUGCUGCAUAUAAUGGGGAUUGUCAAGGUGUUGGCUACUCCCAGUGGAUUUCAUGGUUACUGCCAUGACUUGAAGAUUGGUUGACCCAACCUGUUUGGCUACACAAGUUCUCCUUCUGAUUUGCUAUACAACUGAGCUUCCGCUGGAGCUGAUCUUACAUGGGUUAAAUUGUCUUUAUGAAACGAAUAAUAAAAAUAAAGCAUUUGAACAUCU